rnacentral:rRNA from 1 species
UUUUUGUGCUUUCCUAAAAUAGGCAGAUUAGGAUGUUAGAUUGCCAGUUUUAGAAGGAUUACAAAUCGUAGUUUGUGUCAGUCUCGUUGGGUGAUUAGGGUGCUAGCUAGAGGGCAGUUUCUUUUUUUUUUGAGGGUGCUAGCUAGAGGUACCAGGGAGCCAUGGCGAAGCGGGGGUGGUUUUUAGGGGCGUGGAUCGUGGGGAGGGAGUAGGCAGCCAACGAGGAUACGCACCCAGCAGCGGGCGCGCGAGGAGUGGGGGCGGCGGCGGCGAGUGAGAAGGCGAGCUACGGGCGCCCAGGGGCACAAGGGAGGGGCGUCGGCCGCGGCGAGCGAGGUGGUCUGCGAGCCGCGGGUGCGCCGCGACGGUGGCGUGCGUAGCCGUUCCAAAGACGCCGCCUCUGCGUCUUCUUCCUACUACCCCACCCUGGCAACGGCGGCUAGUCGCAUCGAGUGCCGUCCGAGAACGAUAAGCCUGAUCCGAAGGAGAGAGACAGAGAGAUACGUGGAAGAGGGGAGAUAAGAGAGUACAGAGAGAGUCAGACCUCGUACCGCAAGCGCCACCACGUCUGUAUUCCUGCACGUCGCACGCCGCUGCCGUACGGGUGGUGCGGGAAACGUGGGUUAGAGAGAAAGAUUGGAGAGUCACGUAGUCGUCCAAACUCUUCUCUGAGAUCUAGCUCUUCCAGUGUACUCGAACGACCGUAGUAUUGAAAAACUUGACUAAAAAAACAGGGUUUUCGAGUCCACUAAAGAAGGGAUAUUUUAUUGUACCGUGUGGUUAAAAUAGCUGAAGCGUAAGUACUUUUAAAUACAUAUACUGUUAGCAAACACAAACGAAGUUCUGCAUGCGAGACUACAUAGGUUAGGGAUAAUUGUAGGUAUUUAUCUCUAACUUUAUUACGGUACUAUCAGUUCAUAUUCUAAUCGAGUUAUUAGAGGUUAAUCAGAAAAAGGAACAACAGGUCCAGAAGUACUCGUUUAUUAGAAAGUUGUUAAUUACCUACCUACGCCCUUGUGCCCAACCUAAUGGGACGUUUUGACUUUAUCAAAGGACUAAUAUUUGAAAUGUUGAAAGUCUUGACUCUGUGUACAUCCGAAUCAUAAACAUAAUAACGAAGUAGUAGGAAGCGCCCCUUACGUUACGGACCUUGGGAAGUUACGUGAGGUACGGAUCUGACGUGAUGGGGUUACGACAGUACUACCGGCGGUGUGAGUAGUGCGCCCGUGUUACCGGACCCCGUACAGCGAUGCGGAUCUGACUUAAGUUGCUUCAUAGAAGUCGCAAAGUCCAAACCAUAAGGAUGAAAAUACUAUAUGCAUUACGAACUCCUGCCUAGGUACAACACAGUCUAAUACUUCAUAAAAAGAUUUGACAGGUUCGUUAAUGCCUACUACGGUACUAGAUACAAGGACGAACUAUGGGUUGAUACUUAGUUAGUGGAACAUACGAGAAAAAAUACAAGAAGUACGUACACGAUAGACGAUAGAGGGUACAAGACCUCGCUUUACAACUUUCUUCCCUGUGAUUACCUAUCACCAGAUCGAUGUGACCCCUCGUCACCCGAAAUGACGGGAGAAGAACGAAACGAGAAAGUUUGAUCCAGGUUCCUCUAAGGAAGUGGUGUUGGUUCUUCUUGAAGUGAUUCCUUACUUAGCUAGUUCGUUAACUGACAAGCCAUCACAAAGAACAACAACGUCUACACCUCAUGUACCCGUACCUUAAGGUAAACUAAGUCGACGGUUAAUGAAGUAAAUCUUCGUCGGAAAAGUUUAAAAUCACUUAAACACCUCCAACUCAACGAAGUAAAGACCGGAUUGUAUAAAUAAGAUACAAGAUCUAAAACCUGUUGUUAUUAGUCUCCAGUAGAAAAUAACCUAAUGUUACGAAACGACUAGAAUAAAAACGGUUUCUCAAAGAUAUGGAAGAGACACACUAAGGAAAGAAGCCUCAUAUAUAAUGGUACAAACGACUCGCACGGAACGAGGAGUUUUAGGAUAUACAUAAGCUAGGAAGCGGUCCCCAACCAGAACCAGUCAACGCUACUUCGUACGCUUCCGAUGUCCACUCCACCACCUCUUCCUUCGACAGCAACACCUCCGACAACGUGGUCGUUGUGAUCUACCGUAAGUUCCCUUCUCCUCUACGCGGACCCACUGAGACUCGUGGCAGACGAGUCUAUUCGACCUGUAAAACAAUCGAGAAAUCGGAAGGAGGUUUUCUUAAAGAACAAUUCCUAAAGUCGACGGUGGAUUCUUCUUUUUACGACGAGGUCCACUAAUACUAAGUGACAAGUAAUAUGACCGCAAAUAACAAAGCUGCGUACAUUUUCACUACACCACAGGACGUGUCUCGACGACUCAAAACAGAAGAUUAUCAACUAUGUACCAAAUAUUAAGACCACGGGUUAAGACAUGAUAGAAAACACAGAAUAAAUUGUAAAUCUUAAGGGUUAUAUAAUGUACUCGAAGGAAGUAGCCUUAAAGCAAGAUCUUUCCCUUCCAUUUUCCUUCUCCACAUCAUAGAGAGAGCUAUGGUACCAAGUAACACUUAGGCACGGUGUCAAUACACAAACGAUAACGAACUUGGUUUGGUUACUAAACCAUGUUGAAGAUAACAAAGAAAAUACCUUAGAGUCAAAAAGG